UUAAUAUGAAUGUAUAUUAGUUUAUAUGCAUUAUUUAUAUUGGAUUCAAUUUUAAUCUAUACCAUUUAAUCUGUUGAUUUCAAUAAUUGUUAUUAACACAGUUUUUAAAUAAAGUAUGGUUAAUAGUUCUAAGGAAAAGAAGACAUACACAGUUAGCUUUUUUAUUAUCAGUAGAAUAAUCAGUGAAAAAUAUUUUUUUAAUAGAUCAUUACAAUUGCAAUCAAACUCCAUAUGUAUUGUCCCGCCCCAACUUAUAUUGUAGAAGGUUCCCUAUGAGAAACGCAUUAUUUUCUUAUUUACUUUCUUCAGCACUUCUCCGGAAGUCUUCUGCAGAGGACUUUCUGAGGUCUGGGCGAGAGAGGCGGGCAGUGAGAUGUCAACAAGGAGGCUGCAGCUCUGAAGACAGCGAGGCAGAAGAACUACUCGAGGCCACCUCAGAUUACGAGCAGGAAAACUCAAAGAUGUUCUUUAAUGGUGGAUCACAAGCAGGGGUGCACACGAGGCCUGACGGCGAGCCACAGGAAGAGGGCUCAGGCAUGUAGCCCUGUGGCUCAUGGCUUCGUGAGAGUCCACAGACUGGGAAAGACAAAGACAGCCUGGGGGAAACUCCACUCUACUGCAUCACUGGAUCCAAGCACAGGUGCUCAGAGCAUGGAACGAUGUCAGAUGCUAUAAUAAUAUCAUAGAAAGUGUAUAGAGAAUAGAGUCCUGAAGUGUUUCGGAUGCUUAAUUUUGCAUAUAUAUAAAAUCACACUGAAAAUGAUUCGGUCUGAGAUGGAUAUGUUUCUCGCGUAAUUCUAACAUAGAUGGUGAUGCCGACUUUGGUGCUUUUUAAAGAAUGCUGCUGAAAGCCUCUACCUGUUGUAUAACCUGUUUUGACACUAUAGUCACGGUGCUAAAUUGACAUGAUUCAUUUUAGAGAACAGUGUUUAGAUACUACACAAAUUUAAAGGAUGAACCUCAGUGUACACAAUAUACCGUUCACUAUCAAAAGUUUAAAGGUACCUCAAUAUGUUCAAAUGAACAAAAAAAAAAAAGUAUCUGCUAUAUAAACACAAACUAUUUUUAUGUCCUUUACAAAAAGUUUGCAAUAAAAAUACAGCAUGACCUGAAAAAUACUUUUUUAUUCACUUGCAUGAAGAAAAUGCAAUGAUAUUCUUGAAAUGACUUCCUAUACCAUUUUAAUGCCAUGGUACAUGGAUAUGAUAAUCAUUCAGUACCAGGAUAUAUAUAAGUACCAAGGCAUUGCAAUCUAAUACACUCAUGUUUAGGUCAGUGUUGUUGAUAAUGUCAAAACACAUACAACACAACCUGUAGCAUUAGUGAUAAUGGUUUUCCUGUAUGGUGUAGAGAAUAAAAUCAAUGCGUUUUGACUAUUUUUUACCAGAUUUCUUUUCUUAAAUCUACUUUCUGCUGAUUUAUUUUUCAUGCAGAUGAUAUAUGAUGUCCUAUUAUAAUAAGAAAUAAAUAAAGAUUAACUGCAUAUAAAUAUUCUUUUGCUUUCUAUCCUUGAUUUACUGUAUAUCUACAAAAACUCAAUUCAAAAGUUAGCUGCAAUGCUAACACGAGUAAACAGCUUAUGUUUUUCCUGAAUAUUUCAUUCAAAUAACUGUAUCAGAUGUAUUAUGCAGCAGUAAUGUAAACUU
ensembl:lncRNA